CGGUCUGUCUAGUCCUCGUCAAUAUUGAAGUUAACGUAUAUUUAAAAUCUGCACGAUUGUUAACAUAUUGUCAUUGUCCAAUCAUAGCUUUCAUUAUUGCUUUGUAAGUUAAUACUUCCCACAAAUAUCAUACCUGUCAAAAUGUACGUACUAUUGACCAAUCAAGAGUGUCUAUCCUGCGCGACCUUUGGAGGAGUUCGUAGUCACAUUAAUACUAGGUGGGAAAAAGUCGCGGGACCUCGAGUCCGAGUUGAGUCCCAAUUUGCUCCACCUCGAGUUUAGUACCGAGUCGAGUCCCAAGUCUUCACAAAGUCCGAGUCCCGUUCAAGUCGCCAGGUCAUCAAGUGUCAGCAGUUCAUAGCGAAUAAGGUUGGUUCAGAACAGCAGGACGUAAACCCCAUUUCAUUUCCUCAAUUUAGAAUUUCCAUGUUACCAGAGUCGAAUUAUUAUUUUUACUACAGAAGACGCGCCGGUAUUCCGUGAAUGGAUAGAAAGAAACCCCAAAAUAUUAUACAUAGAUCCCUAGAGGUAAUCAAAUUCAAAAAUAAAAACAAAAUUUUACAGCAGUUUAAAAAUAGUACGUGCACGAAGUUCUCCAGUUGAGUCCCACUUAUCGGUAAAUCUGUAAAUAAUUUAUACGCAUGGAAUAUUUCCAUAAAAAGUUCGUUAUUAUCUUUGCUACUCCAUGGGGUUUGCUUGAAAUACAUCAGAUAUUGACGUUUUAUCGACGGAGAUCGAGGGCAGUAUGGAUUCAAUUGCCACAGUUCUCUAUAUAGACUAAAUAUUUUCAUAAUCAUCUUUUAUUUUUUACUAUUUUU